AGUACCCCAAUUUCCUCAAGGUUGGGUUAAUUCAUUUACCCAGCAACAAUCAUUACAACAGCCACCAAGAGUUUGGAGCAAUCAAACUUCAUCUGAAGCACUAAUUCGGGAAGUCCUAACAAAGCAAGAAAUGAUCCUUGAGCAACAGACAUUUAUUUUGCGUCUUCUUCAAGCACGGCAAAACACCCAGGAUUGUGAAAUUGAAGAAGGGCUUCUGCCAGUGCAUGAUAUAGAAGCGCUACAAAACGUGGAAGUACAACUUAGUAAUGGAGAAUUCAAAGAGAGAUUGAUGAAUCACUUAAGUCUUAUUGGAGGGUGUGACAUAAAGGAUGCAGUCUGGCGGCUAAUGAGGAAAACAAUUUCCAAUAGCCUUGCUAGAAACAUGAAUUGGAAGGGGUUGAAUGGGAAGACAUCAUUUGCAGCACUGCGAUUGAAGGAUGUGAUGAUUGCUGCAGUUCGAAAAAAUCCACUGAUGUCCAAAGCAACAGAUCAUGAUGUGGAAUCUGUCAUGAAAAGAUGGCUGCAGCUUGCUUUAGAUCGAGAGGGCGGCAGAAAACGGCGGCAAAAAACAGACUCAUAAAAUGUCUCUCUUGUUCAAUCAACCACCCACCCACUUUCACCCACCAGUAUGUGUGCCAGAUGUGUAUAUGCUAAUAUUCACACACUAGUCAUUCAUUUUGUUUGUAAUAUUCUUUAAAAUUUAGGAUGAAAAAAAAAGCAAAAUUUUCAAUUUUGUGAAAUAUUUUUCUUACCAAGUGCUUUGCUGUUCUGAAUUUUCUGAAUUUGAUUGAUGUUUAAAAAAUAAAACCAAUUGAAAACGUA